rnacentral:rRNA from 1 species
UACGGAGGGUGCAAGCGUUAUCCGGAUUCACUGGGUUUAAAGGGUGCGUAGGCGGACAGGUAAGUCAGUGGUGAAAUCUCCGAGCUUAACUCGGAAACUGCCUUUGAUACUCUCUGUCUUGAAUAUGGUGGAGGUAAGCGGAAUAUGUCAUGUAGCGGUGAAAUGCUUAGAGAUGACAUAGAACGCCUAUUGCGAAGGCAGCUUACUACGCCUAUAUUGACGCUGAGGCACGAAAGCGUGGGGAUCAAACAGG